UUAAUAAAUCAUAAUUAAACCUUUCUCUCCUUAAUUUAUCCUACAUAUUACUAUGGUGAAGGCAACCAAAAAGGACCAUGCUCAUAAUCGGGUCAAGUAUAUACCAAAAUAGUUGUGGACUUAGACACUAAUCCAACAGUCUCCCACUUGGAUAAGUCUAAUAACUAUUUUUCAUAACUUUAGAACCUAAUUAGCAAUCUGUAACGCCCGUGUUUCUGGUAACAGUCUCCCACUUGGAUAAGUCUAAUAACUAUUUUUCAUAACUUUAGAACCUAAUUAGCAAUCUGUAACGCCCGUGUUUCUGGUCUUGCUAUUUUUAGCAAUGUAAUAGUCUAGGUUAACCUUUGUAACCCCAAUUUGAAAUAAUAAAAAUGUAUUAUUUGUGAAUUAUGUGAUUUAUGUGUGUGUUCUUAAUUAUUAUAAUUUAAUGAAUUAAGAAUAAAAUAAGCGUCAAAAUUAAAAUAUUAGAUAUGCCCGAUAUCUUUGCAUAA
rnacentral:lncRNA from 1 species